rnacentral:lncRNA from 1 species
UCCCCCUCAAUAUAGCAAACGUAAAAGAUAUACCAAUUUGCUCAUUUAGAAGAUAUUACAAUUCAUAGUAUUUCACAACACAAAUAUAAGUUAUUUUUCAUAUUUCAUGAUUAAAAGCAAUUUAAUUUGAUCACAUUCAUAGACAUUUAUUGAAAGUCAAAGUAUAUAUAUAUAUCCAAAAAGUAACUAAAUACAUAAAUGUUUCAAUACAUAUGA